rnacentral:rRNA from 1 species
UACGUAGGGCGCAAGCGUUGUCCGGAAUUAUUGGGCGUAAAGAGCUCGUAGGCGGUUUGUCACGUCGGGUGUGAAAGCCCGGGGCUUAACCCCGGGUCUGCAUUCGAUACGGGCAGACUGGAGUGUGGUAGGGGAGAUCGGAAUUCCUGGUGUAGCGGUGAAAUGCGCAGAUAUCAGGAGGAACACCGGUGGCGAAGGCGGUUCUCUGGGACGGUACUGACGCUGAGACGCGAAAGCGUGGGGAGCGAACAGG